rnacentral:rRNA from 1 species
CCUACGGGAGGCAGCAGUGGGGAAUAUUGCACAAUGGGGGAAACCCUGAUGCAGCGACGCCGCGUGAGUGAAGAAGUAAUUCGUUAUGUAAAGCUCUAUCUGCAGGGAAGUAAAUGACGGUACCUGAGUAUGUAGCCACGUCUAACUACGUGCCAGCAGCCGCGGUAAUACGUAGGGGGCAAGCGUUAUCCGGAUGUACUGGGUGUAAAGGGAGCGUAGACGGGAGUGCAAGUCUGGAGUGAAAGGCGGAGGCUCAACCCCCGGACUGCUCUGGAAACUGUACGGCUGGAGUGCAGGAGAGGUAAGUGGAAGUCGUAGUGUAGCGGUGAAAUGCGUAGAUAUUAGGAGGAACACCAGUGGCGAAGGCAGCUUACUGGACUGUAACUGACGUUGAGGCUCGAAAGCGUGGGGAGCAAACAGGAUUAGAUACCCUGGUAGUC